GAUCGAGAGAACAGGAAUCGAAGUGUGUGGCGGAGGAGAGAAGAGUGGCCACAUUCCACAUGCAACACUAGAGUCUAACCAAGGAUUUAAUUGGCGUCCUAGCUUACCAAGAAGAAACCAAGAGCAAGGUACCUGCGAAGGAGAGCAGGUGGAAGGGCCCAGUUCAUCCAAAGGA